rnacentral:rRNA from 1 species
AGUCGAGGGGUAGAACACUUCGGUGUUUGAGACCGGCGCACGGGUGCGUAACGCAUAUGCAAUCUACCUUUUACAGGGGAAUAGCCCAGAGAAAUUUGGAUUAAUGCCCCAUAGUAUAAUUGAAUGGCAUCAUUUGAUUAUUAAAGUUCCAACGGUAAAAGAUGAGCAUGCGUCCCAUUAGUUAGUUGGUAAGGUAACGGCUUACCAAGACUACGAUGGGUAGGGGUCCUGAGAGGGAGAUCCCCCACACUGGUACUGAGACACGGACCAGACUCCUACGGGAGGCAGCAGUGAGGAAUAUUGGACAAUGGGCGCAAGCCUGAUCCAGCCAUGCCGCGUGCAGGAUGACGGUCCUAUGGAUUGUAAACUGCUUUUGCACAGGAAGAAACAACGCUACGUGUAGCGUCUUGACGGUACUGUGAGAAUAAGGAUCGGCUAACUCCGUGCCAGCAGCCGCGGUAAUACGGAGGAUCCAAGCGUUAUCCGGAAUCAUUGGGUUUAAAGGGUCCGUAGGCGGUCUUAUAAGUCAGUGGUGAAAUCUCCCCGCUCAACGGGGAAACGGCCAUUGAUACUGUAGGACUUGAAUUAUUAGGAAGUAACUAGAAUAUGUAGUGUAGCGGUGAAAUGCUUAGAGAUUACAUGGAAUACCAAUUGCGAAGGCAGGUUACUACUAAUGGAUUGACGCUGAUGGACGAAAGCGUGGGUAGCGAACAGGAUUAGAUACCCUGGUAGUCCACGCCGUAAACGAUGGAUACUAGCUGUUGGGCGCAAGUUCAGUGGCUAAGCGAAAGUGAUAAGUAUCCCA